rnacentral:rRNA from 1 species
GAGUGAACGCUGGCGGUAGGCCUAACACAUGCAAGUCGAACGGCAGCACGGUAAGAGCUUGCUCUUAUGGGUGGCGAGUGGCGGACGGGUGAGGAAUACAUCGGAAUCUACCUUUUGGUGGGGGAUAACGUAGGGAAACUUACGCUAAUACCGCAUACGCCCUUCGGGGGAAAGCCGGGGACCAGCAAUGGCCUGGCGCUGAUAGAUGAGCCGAUGUCGGAUUAGCUAGUUGGUGAGGUAAUGGCUCACCAAGGCGACGAUCCGUAGCUGGUCUGAGAGGAUGAUCAGCCGCACUGGAACUGAGACACGGUCCAGACUCCUACGGGAGCAGCAGUGGGAAUAUUGGACAAUGGG